UUACGGUCAUAUGACGUUGUGACACCGCUUCUCGUACGAUCACCAAAAUUAAGCAACGUCAAACAUGGUCAGUAGUUAGAUGGGUGACAGCUUGGAAAUACCAGGUAUCGCAG